rnacentral:tRNA from 1 species
GCCGGGAUAGCUCAGUGA